rnacentral:rRNA from 1 species
UUUACGGAGAGUUUGAUCCUGGCUCAGAACUAACGCUGGCGGCGUGCCUAACACAUGCAAGUCGAGCGGUCACCAAUUUGUAGCAAUACAGACGAAGUGAUAGCGGCAGACGGGUGAGUAACACGUAGGCAAUCUACCUUUCCGUCCGGGAUAACUAGCCGAAAGGUUAGCUAAUACCUGAUACGACCAUCGAGCGGCA